rnacentral:rRNA from 1 species
UACGUAGGUGGCAAGCGUUGUCCGGAAUCAUUGGGCGUAAAGCGCGUGUAGGCGGUUCGGUAAGUCUGCUGUGAAAGUCCAGGGCUCAACCCUGGGAUGCCGGUGGAUACUGUCGAACUAGAGUACGGAAGAGGCGAGUGGAAUUCCCGGUGUAGCGGUGAAAUGCGCAGAUAUCGGGAGGAACACCAAUUGCGAAGGCAGCUCGCUGGGACGUCACUGACGCUGAGACGCGAAAGCGUGGGGAGCAAACAGGG